GUGUAGUCUACAGUGCAUGUGUCUCCAGGGACACUAGACAGCUGGAGACACAGCUCUGUUGGAUACA
rnacentral:pre_miRNA from 13 species